CGGGGAGACACGCGUUUCCGGUGCUCCCGCCCCCACGCCCGCCAGGGGCAGUGAGAGCGCCGCGGGGCGCCCGGCUCCGCUGGGUGCGGAGACGUUGUGGGAGGGGUCGGGCUUCCCGCGUGGUCCCCCAGGGUUUUCGGGCGGUCAGAUCGGCUGGCCCUGCACCGAGAGGAGCGCUGAAGGAAGAGCGAGGUGCAGAGCAGCGGACAAGGCUCCUUUCCCCUGGUUCCUUCCUGGACUCAAACAACUAAAAAGGAAACAUCCUUGGGCAUCUCCAGCUCAGUGGGGUCCCGUGCACCUUCAGUCUCCUGGACAGUUUCAUAACCACUCAACCCCUUGUUGAAUUUA
rnacentral:lncRNA from 1 species